UUGUAUAUUGAUAACGGACAAAAUUAUGCUGUAAUAUCGACACCGAUCGAUCAUUGUAGCAGCGAGGCAGAGAAU